rnacentral:lncRNA from 1 species
CUAUACUUUGCUCAAACUAAGCUUCCCAAAACAUCAUUCAUCUGUCAUCCCCUUGUAAUGCGCCCACACAAAUACAGAACUUUAAAGUUUUUGCGACACACAAUUGUUCAUGUCAGUGCUUUCAAGAGCCCCUGAUAUGGAACAGAGGACAGGGCGGAUCACGCUCACACCUCUAUCAGGCUAACCGUUGUGCCCGGCAGCACCAGAGGAGUUGCAGCCUCCGGAUGUGAGGGUCUGUGGGCGUUGAGCUGCACAACGAAGUAUCACUUACUCAUCUCCUGCUCUCCGCCAAACCAUCUCGACAGGCACUCCUCAGACACCCGGAGUCUGUACAACUAUUCUGAGUCAGUAACUGUUGCCUACAGUCUUUCGUUUUAACUCCUCUCCCAAUGUCCUUUAUCCAUUGUAAUUAAAUCUCUGAUGUGCU